GCAAUACUGGCUAGAUCACAAGCAACUGUUAGAGGCCUUGCCAUGUUAUCUCAGUCUCUCAAAGAAACUGGGGGAGUUGAGGCUGUGAGUUUGAGAUUUGCAGAGCAAUACAUUCAAGCAUUCAGUAACAUUGCCAAGGAGGGUACGACAAUGUUGCUUCCAAGGUCCACAGAGAGAUGACCAAGAGACUUCAGGAGUGGAAGGUGACUGGGAAGACAUAGAUGAGAAAGAUAUAUCCGAAGGGUCUAAAAACCGAUCAGGCUCAACAAUAUUCGAAACAGAGAAACCAGGCCAGACCAGCGAACCAGUAUUUUCUCUUCAGAGUCGCAACAAGGAGCCAUAGUAGCCAACCAAACCGAGAAUCAGAUGAUUCUAUGUGCCUGAGAGAACAAAAAAUCCAUCUUUUCCAGUUUUCAGAAAAAAUGAGACACUAUCGUCUUCCCUGUUUUGAGCGGCAUGAAUAUCAUAUUCCAUUU